AGUGAACGCUGGCGGUAUGCCUAACACAUGCAAGUCGAACGGCAGCACAGUGAGAGCUUGCUCUUACGGGGGGCGAGUGGCGGACGAGUGAGGAAUACAUCGGAAUCUACUUUUUCGUGGGGGAUAACGUCGGGAAACAUACGCUAAUACCGCAUACGACCUACGGGUGAAGGCGGAGGAUCUUCGGGUCUUGCGCGAGUGAAUGGGCCGAUGGCGGGUUAGCUAGUUGGCGGGGUAAAGGCGCACCAAGGCGACGAUCGGUAGCGGGUGUGAGAGGAUGAACCGCGCCACUGGAACUGGACCACGGUCCAGACUCCUAGGGGAGGCCCCAGUGGCGAAUAGAGGAAAAGGGGCGCAAGCCUGAUCCAGCCAUACCGCGCGGGUGAAGAAGGCCUUCGGGUUGGAAAGCCCUUUUGUUGUUAAAGAAAAGCAUCAGUUGAAUACCCCGCUGUUCUGACGGUACCCAAAGAAUAAGCACCGGCUAACUUCGUG
rnacentral:rRNA from 1 species